rnacentral:rRNA from 1 species
UGGGGAAUUUUUCGCAAUGGGGGCAACCCUGACGAAGCAACGCCGCGUGGAGGAUGAAGGCCCUAGCGGUUGUAAACUCCUGUCUAGCGGGACGAAGGUAUCGGAUUCGAAUAGGGUCUGGUAUUGACUGUACUGCUGGAGGAAGCUCCGGCCAACUCCGUGCCAGCAGCCGCGGUAAUACGGAGGGAGCAAGCGUUACUCGGAAUUAUUGGGCGUAAAGGGCGCGUAGGCGAUUUGACAAGUCUUGUGUGAAAGCCCAGAGCUUAACUUUGGAAGUGCAUAAGAAACUGUUGAAUUUGAGUAUAGGAGAGGAAGGCAGAAUUCCCGGUGUAGCGGUGAAAUGCGUAGAUAUCGGGAGGAAUACCAGUGGCGAAGGCGGCCUUCUGGACUAUAACUGACGCUGAGGCGCGAAAGCUAGGGGAGCAAACGG